rnacentral:rRNA from 1 species
GCGGUAAGACGCACUGGAGGACCGAACCAGGGCACGUUGAAAAGGGCUUGGAUGACUUGCGGGUAGCGGAGAAAUUCCAAACGAACUUGGAGAUAGCUGGUUCUCUCCGAAAUAGCUUUAGGGCUAGCAUCGACAGUAGAUGAUUAUUGGAGGUAGAGCACUGUUUGGACGAGGGGCCCCUCUCGGGUUACCGAAUUCAGACAAACUCCGAAUGCCAAUUAAUUUAACUUGGGAGGCAGAACAGGGGGGAGAAGGUCCGUGUUCGAAAGGGAAACAGCCCAGACCACCAGCUAAGGUCCCAAAAUAUAUGUUAAGUGGAAAAGGAUGUGGCG